UUCCUACGGGAGGCUGCAGCUAAGAAUAUUCCGCAAUGGACGAAAGUCUGACGGAGCGACGCCGCGUGGAUGACGAAGGCCGAAAGGUUGUAAAGUCCUUUUGCUGGGGAAGAAUAACCAUGGGAGGGAAUGCCCGUGGGAUGACAUGAACCGGCGAAUAAGCCCCGGCUAACUACGUGCCAGCAGCCGCGGUAACACGUAGGGGGCGAGCGUUGUUCGGAAUUACUGGGCGUAAAGGGCAUGUAGGCGGCUCUGUAAGCCUGGCGUGAAAGUCACCGGCUCAACCGGUGGAUUGCGUUGGGAACUGCGGAGCUUGAAUCAUGGAGAGGGAGCUGGAAUUCCAGGUGUAGGGGUGAAAUCUGUAGAGAUCUGGAAGAACACCAGUGGCGAAGGCGAGCUCCUGGCCAAUGAUUGACGCUGAGGUGCGAAAGUGUGGGGAUCAAACAGGAUUAGAUACCCUAGUAGUCCU
rnacentral:rRNA from 1 species